GUCGACGCUCCGCCGCUGCGGGGCGUGGCGCACGGCUGAGUAACACGUGGCUAACCUACCCUCGGGAGGGGGAUAACCUCUCGGGAAACUGGGGCUAAUCCCCCAUAGGCGGGGAGGCCUGGAAGGGUUCUCCGCCGAAAGGGGGCGUGGGGGGUUAUCGCCUGCGCCCCGCCCGAGGAUGGGGCCGCGGCCUAUCAGGUUGCUGGCGGGGUAAUGGCCCGCCAGGCCUACGACGGGUAGGGGCCGUGAGAGCGGGAGCCCCCAGAUGGGCACUGAGACAAGGGCCCAGGCCCUACGGGGCGCACCAGGCGCGAAAACUCCGCAAUGCGGGCAACCGUGACGGGGCUACCCCGAGUGCCCCCCUUGAGGGGGCUUUUCCUCGCUGUAAGGAGGCGGGGGAAUAAGCGGGGGGCAAGUCUGGUGUCAGCCGCCGCGGUAAUACCAGCCCCGCGAGUGGUCGGGGUGAUUAUUGGGCCUAAAGCGGCCGUAGCCGGCCCGGUAAGUCCCCCCUGAAAGCCCCGGGCUCAACCUGGGGAGCGGGGGGAUACUGCCGGGCUAGGGGGCGGGAGAGGCCGAGGGUACUCCCGGGGUAGGGGCGAAAUCCAAUAAUCCCGGGAGGACCACCAGUGGCGAAGGCGCUCGGCUGGAACGCGCCCGACGGUGAGGGCCGAAAGCCGGGGGAGCGAACCGGAUUAGAUACCCGGGUAGUCCCGGCUGUAAACGAUGCGGGCUAGGUGUUGGGCGGGCGAGAGA
rnacentral:rRNA from 1 species